UACAGAGGGGGGCAAGCGUUGUUCGGAAUUACUGGGCGUAAAGGGCGCGUAGGCGGCCUUCUAAGUCGAACGUGAAAUCCCUGGGCUCAACCCAGGAACUGCGUCCAAGACUGGGAGGCUUGAAUCCGGGAGAGGGAUGCGGAAUUCCAGGUGUAGCGGUGAAAUGCGUAGAUAUCUGGAGGAACACCGGUGGCGAAGGCGGCAUCCUGGACCGGUAUUGACACUGAGGCGCGAAAGCCAGGGGAGCAAACGGG
rnacentral:rRNA from 1 species